GUCCUUGCCGUAACGAUGUGUACUUGAUGUAGUUGGGCUCAACCCUGACUGUAUCGUAGCUAACGCGAUAAGUACACCGCCUGAGGAGUACGCUCGCAAGGGUGAAACUCAAAGAAUUGACGGGGCCCGCACAAGCAGUGGAGCAUGUGGUUUAAUUCGAUGCAACGCGAAGAACCUUACCUGGGCUCGAAAUGUAGACGACGAUAACAGAGAUGUUAUUUUCCGCAAGGACGUCUAUAUAGGUGCUGCAUGGCUGUCGU
rnacentral:rRNA from 1 species